rnacentral:lncRNA from 1 species
CUCCUCAAAGCACAGCAGACAAAGAAUCAGUACAAGAAAACCGCACUACAAACUAGAGCUGACAGCUGGCACAACAAAACAUUGCAUGGAAAGUUCCUCGACAAAAUUGAAGGAAAAGCUGAUAAGGAGAAGACCUGGCUCUGGCUCACGAAUGGGACCCUGAAGAAGGAGACAGAAGGCCUGAUCCUUGCAGCCCAGGAGCAAGACAUCAGGACAAAUGCAAUUAAGGCCAAGAUCGAAAAAUCAGCUGAUGACCCAAAAUGCAGACUGUGCAGGAAAACCGACGAAACCAUGGAUCAUAUCCUCAGCUGCUGUAAGGAAACCGACGAAACCAUGGAUCAUCUCCUCAGCUGCUGUAAGAAAAUCGCACAGACAGACUACAAACAGAGGCACAACUAUGUGGCCCAAAUGAUUCAUUGGAACUUAUGCCUCAAGUACCACCGCCCUGCAGUAAAGAACUGGUGGGAUCACAAACCUGCAAAAGUAUUGGAAAAUGAGCACGCAAAAAUACUGUGGAACUUCCGAAUCCAGACUGACAAAGUUCUGAAACACAACACACCAGACAUCACAGUUGUGGAAAAGAAAACGGUUUGGAUCAUUGAUGUCGCCAUCCCAGGUGACAGUCGCAAUGACGAAAAGCAACAGGAAAAACUCAGCCGCUAUCAGGACCUCAAGAUUGAACUUCAAAGACUCUGGCAGAAACCAGUGCAGGUGGUCCCGGUGGUGAUGGGAACACUGGGUGCCGUGCCAAAAGAUCUCAGCCGGCAUUUGGAAACAAUAAACACUGACAAAAUUACGAUCUGCCAACUGCAAAAGGCCACCCUACUGGGAUCUGCAUGCAUCUUCCGAAAAUACAUCACACAGUCCUAGACACUUGGGAAGUGUUCGACUUGUGAUUUUAUGAUAAGAAAUCCAGCAUGUUUAUCUUGUUUGCUUUGUCAUACAAUAAAAUAAUAAUCAUCUUUUUUAUUAUUAAUAAUCUUUAUUAAUAAUAAUAAUAAGUUUAUUUUUUAUAUCCUGCCCCAUCUCCCCAAAGGGACUUGUGGCAGCUCACAUGGGGCUAAUCCCAACAACAUACAUUAAAAUACAACAGUGUAUAAAAUACAACAAUAUAUACAAAAGUAUAUAAAAUACAACAAUAUAAAAUACAUAACAAUCAGAACAGUAUAAAAUACACAAUACAAAAUACACAACAUAAAAUACAACAAUAUAAAAUACCUAAUAAUCACAACAGUAUAAAAUACACAAUAUAAAAUACAUAACAAUCACAACAGUAUAAAAUACACAAUAUAAAUGACAUAACAAUCACAACAGUAUAAAAUACACAAUAUAAAAUACAACAAUAUAAAAUACACAAUAUAAAAUACAUAACAAUCACAACAGUAUAAAAUACACAAUAUAAAAUACACAACAAUCACAACAGUAUAAAAUACACAAUAUAAAAUACACAGUAUAAAAUACAAUAUAAAAUACACAACAAUCACAAUAGUAUAAAAUACACAACAUAAAAUACAACAAUAUAAAAUACAUAAUAAUCACAACAGUAUAAAAUACACAAUAUAAAAUACAUAACAAUCACAACAGUAUAAAAUACACAAUAUAAAUGACAACAAUCACAACAGUAUAAAAUACACAAUAUAAAAUACAACAAUAUAAAAUACACAAUAUAAAAUACAUAACAAUCACAACAGUAUAAAAUGCACAAUAUAAAAUACACAACAAUCACAACAGUAUAAAAUACACAAUAUAAAAUAUACAAUAUAAAAUACAACAAUAUAAAAUACAUAACACUGGGACUUGGGCGGCUUACAUGGGGCAGAGGCCCGAGCAACUCAACUGAACAAAAUAAACAACAGCAUAAACACAAUUCACAGUAUAAAAAGAUAAAAACAGUAAUACAAUAUAAAACAAGAAUAUUAUAACAGUUAAUAUAUCAGCCAACCGCCAGGUACAUUAAAGGAUCUCAAUCCUAAAAUGGGAACUUACACUACAUUUAUUUAUCAUGUCAGAAACAAAUUGAGCACACAGUGUUGUUGUGUGUUUUCCAGACUGUAUGGCCAUGUUCCAGAAGUACAUACAGCCCGGAAAACACACAACAACCCUGUGAUUCCGGCCAUGAAAGCCUUCGACAACACAUUUCAAAGCUCCCUGCUUGGGCGGUGAUGGCACGAUCGAC